rnacentral:lncRNA from 1 species
CACACAAGGAGAUUCAGCACUGUUAAGAAGAGAAAUCCAAGUUGACUUGGCAUGAAGCAGGAGGCUGAUUGAGAGCUUUGAAACCUCUUUAAACUUGGACAUUUCAAGAAUCCUGGAAGAGCACUAUUGUGAAAAAAACUAGGAGACCUGCCAGGAAUGAGUGUUUGGUUUCUGCUCUGGAGGUGCUUGAGAAGGGCAAUAGAUCUUAUCUCCAAGUCUUAUUUUCUAAAGAGGUUCCAAGCCAUCGAUACGCAUGAUCUUCAGCAUCCCAGCAGCCAUUUCCUGCUGACCGCUGAGCAGGAAGAGCACAUGACCCUGGCUGGAGCCGCCAAGAGGGUGGAGAUGAUCAGAAAUCCUUUCACUGUCAAAUUCAGAGAAGAAACAUGCUGAGAAGAGGCACUUCCUAUGCCAGGCCUACCUGUGCCGUGAGGAAUACAUGUAGGAGACACUAUUUGAAAAGGUCGCCACCUUGCUGGAACAACCAAUGCAGAGAUAAUGCUGGGCCCUCUAAUCAGUUGAACAGUGGCUUCAAAAAGAUAGGUCAAAGUUAUAAUCUCCUGCAGCUGUGCAUGUGACUUUCUUUGGAAAUAGGAUCUUGCAGGUAUGAUGAAGGCCUAUCUUCCCCAGGCCUGCCAAAGGGAUCCUGCAAAAAAGCAAAUCUGAUCAUAUCCCAGCUCUCAGACCUCUCCACUCGAUGUCCAUCAGCUCCAGGAGGUGCCUUCCAAGGCCUGAAGGUUGACAGAUCCCCCAGGAUCCCCAGGGCCAGCCUACUCUGCAGCCUCACCUCCCAUGCUCCCCUUAUGCCAAUUCUCAGCAGGUUUCUCCCCUGCUUCAUCCCCUAAAUGUUACCCUCCAGUGAUAUUAUUGAUCACCUUCUGAGCAUGCGAUGCCUGCCUGUGACUUUCCACACAGUUUCCCUGAGUCAGGAAAUGUUCUUUUUGCUUGACAACCUGGCAAAGUCUGGUUAGCUUUCCAAUUCAGCUAGGACCAGAGCCUUCUCUUACCUUUACAUCUACCCACCACACCCCUGAAUUAAUUUAAUCUCUCCUCCCUCUCUACUACCUCUUUAAGUUAAACUUAAUCCUCUGCUGGUACCUGUUACACAAGUGUGAGAAUUGAGAAUUCUUACUGUUUAAAGGUCCACUUCCCUACUAGAGUGGAGUUUUGUUUUUUGUUUUUUUCUUUUUCUUUUUUUUUUUUUUUUUGAGAUGG